rnacentral:rRNA from 1 species
GUUGUGAGGUUAAGUGACUAAGCGUACACGGUGGAUGCCUAGGCAGUCAGAGGCGAUGAAGGGCGUGCUAAUCUGCGAAAAGCGUCGGUAAGGUGAUAUGAACCGUUAUAACCGGCGAUACCCGAAUGGGGAAACCCAGUGUGUUUCGACACACUAUCAUGUCAUGAAUACAUAGUGGCAUGAGGCGAACCGGGGGAACUGAAACAUCUAAGUACCCCGAGGAAAAGAAAUCAACCGAGAUUCCCCCAGUAGCGGCGAGCGAACGGGGAGGAGCCCAGAACCUGAAUCGGCUUGUGUGUUAGUGGAAGCGUCUGGAAAGUCGCGCAGCAAAGGGUGAUAGCCCCGUACACUAAAAUGCACAGGUCGUGAGUUCGAUGAGUAGGGCGGGACACGUGACAUCCUGUCUGAAUAUGGGGGGACCAUCCUCCAAGGCUAAAUACUCCUGACUGACCGAUAGUGAACCAGUACCGUGAGGGAAAGGCGAAAAGAACCCCGGCGAGGGGAGUGAAAUAGAACCUGAAACCGUGUACGUACAAGCAGUGGGAGCACCUUCGUGGUGUGACUGCGUACCUUUUGUAUAAUGGGUCAGCGACUUAUAUUUUGUAGCAAGGUUAACCGUAUAGGGGAGCCGUAGGGA